GCAGUCGAGCGAUCUUCUUCGGAGAGAGCGGCGGACGGGGGAGUAACGCGUGGGUAACCUGCCCUGUACACACGGAUUACAUACCGAAAGGUAUGCUAAUACGGGAUAACAUAAGAAAUUCGCAUGUUUUUCUUAUCAAAGCUCCGGCGGUACAGGAUGGACCCGCGUCUGAUUAGCUAGUUGGUGAGGUAACGGCUCACCAAGGCGACGAUCAGUAGCCGACCUGAGAGGGUGAUCGGCCACAUUGGAACUGAGACACGGUCCAAACUCCUACGGGAGGCAGCAGUGGGGAAUAUUGCACAAUGGGCGAAAGCCUGAUGCAGCAACGCCGCGUGAGCGAUGAAGGCCUUCGGGUCGUAAAGCUCUGUCCUCAAGGAAGAUAAUGACGGUACUUGAGGAGGAAGCCCCGGCUAACUACGUGCCAGCAGCCGCGGUAAUACGUAGGGGGCUAGCGUUAUCCGGAUUUACUGGGCGUAAAGGGUGCGUAGGCGGUCUUUUAAGUCAGGAGUGAAAGGCUACGGCUCAACCGUAGUAAGCUCUUGAAACUGGAGGACUUGAGUGCAGGAGAGGAGAGUGGAAUUCCUAGUGUAGCGGUGAAAUGCGUAGAUAUUAGGAGGAACACCAGUAGCGAAGGCGGCUCUCUGGACUGUAACUGACGCUGAGGCACGAAAGCGUGGGGAGCAAACAGGAUUAAAUACCCUGGUAUUCCACGCCGUAAACGAUGAGUACUAGCUGUCGGAGGUUACCCCCUUUCGGUGGCGCAGCUAACGCAUAAAUACUCGCCUGGGGAGUACGCUCGCUAGAGUGAAAUUAACAGAAUUGACUGGAUCCUGCCCAAUUAGCGGAACAUGUGCUUGACUCGUACCAACGGAAAAACCUUAGCAUUCCUGCUUCCUUGACGUGCCUAACGG
rnacentral:rRNA from 1 species